CUCAGGAUCAAGAAUGUGGUACAGUCAGAGCGAGAGAGCCACACUUCCUCUGUCCACAACCACAAUUCAGGUUCGGCCUAUAAGACAGAGGUGGUGUGUCCUCCUGUCUCCUCACCCCCACCGCCUCACCCAGAGACUCUGGUCUGGCAGAGGAGAGAGGGAUGAACGGAGGAGUGUUUGUGAAGUCUGAGCUGGGCAGUCUAACCCAGUCAACUGGACAGUGUUGAGUGGUCAGUUAUUUCACAGGUCAGCAGGGUUUCCAGAACAGGCCUUAGCCUUCAGGA